GAGGAGACAGGCUACAGGACGCUGCUAACACGAAGCCGCGUACCGUCGCUGCGGACAUCCGGGUUCUAGCGGGGACUGAAUUACGAGGGGAAUUGGCCAGGUGUGGGCGGUUGGGGACAACCCCCAUGCUACGAGGCGAGCUAGACCCAAAGGGAACCGAACCACUUCAACAUCCUCCUGCGGUCUGGUAGGGGUGUUGGCAGCCAGUUCUCUCCCACCUAUGCACUGGUCACUUUAUCUGUUCACAUAUGAACUCUGUUGCGCGCGGUCCUGGACAAUUUCCACAUAUACCAUGGACUCUGGGUCUCUAUGAGAUGGACAUUGGCUCCACACAUUGUUGUGGCCACUGACCCUUUAUUGUGAAUACUGUGAUUUUGUGCUUUGUGUGAUCUUAAGGGCGUUUACACCCUGGACUGUGCUGAACCACUGUUGAAUUGUGAUUUCUUUAUUUGUAAGAACCAAAUGAACUAGACUGAAAGACUGAAGUGCACUUCAUCAAACAGCUAUUGGAAUUCCCAAAACCUCUAUACCAGGGGUCAGCAACCUACAGCUCCAGAGCCACAUGUGGCUCUUAAGCCUCUUUGUUGUGGCUCCCUUUGCAAUGCUCAAGUAUUUUUUUUUGCAAAAAAAAAGACUUUUUGCGAGACCCUAUACUCCCAUCAACUCUGCUUUUUCUCCUCUGAACUUUUUUGACACCCCCAAAUUCCCUCCAAAUCGGGCAGUCAAUCAAAAUCUUUGAAGACUUGCAAUUGGCUGCCCAUUUCUUCAGGCGUCUAUUGAGGUUUAACCAAGAUGAUACUAUCAUGACCCAAUGAGCUAGCAUCCAUCACACAUCAAGUUAUUGUAUUCUGCUGUUAAAACUUGUUAAAAUUAAAAAUUAAUCUUUAAUUAAUCUAAAUUAAUCUAAAUUAAAAAAUUUAAAUUAAUCUACAUAGAUGUUUUUAAAUCAUGUUCUGCGGCUUCGGUCUAUUUUUCUUUCGUGAUCGAGGGGGUAAAAAUGGCUCUUUUGAUAAUAAAGGUUGCCGACCCCUGCUCUAUACCAUUUUACUGCCGUUUGUAAAUAUUGUAAAUAAUUUGUCACUGUUUGCACUUAAACCAAAUAACGCACCAAGCCACUUAAAAGUACAUUUUGUGUCUUCUGUGAUAUUACUGUACCUCAACCUCCC